GAUGAAGAACGUAGCGAAAUGCGAUAAGUAAUGUGAAUUGCAGAAUUCAGUGAAUCAUCGAAUCUUUGAACGCACAUUGCGCCCGCCAGUAUUCUGGCGGGCAUGCCUGUCUGAGCAUCAUUUCAACCCUCAUGCCCCUAGGGCGUGGUGUUGGGGAUCGGCCAAAGCCCGCGAGGGACGGCCGGCCCCUAAAUCUAGUGGCGGACCCGUCGUGGCCUCCUCUGCGAAGUAGUGAUAUUCCGCAUCGGAGAGCGACGAGCCCCUGCCGUUAAACCCCCAACUUUCCAAGGUUGACCUCAGAUCAGGUAGGAAUACCCGCUGAACUUAAGCAUAUCAAUAAGCGGAGGA
rnacentral:misc_RNA from 1 species